AGUACUACUGAUCGACCGAUAGUGAACUAGUACCGCGAGGGAAAGGUGAAAAGAACCCCGGCUAGGGGAGUGAAAUAGUACCUGAAACCGUGUGCCUACAAGCAGUGGGAGCACUAUGGCCGUAAGGCAAUGUGUGACCACGUACCUUUUGCAUAAUGGGCCUGCGAGUUACGUUACGUGGCCAGGUUAAGCCGAUAGGUGGAGCCGAAGCGAAAGCGAGUCCUAACAGGGCGAAUUGAGUCGCGUGGCGUAGACCCGAAACCUUAGCGAUCUACCCAUGUCCAGGUUGAAGGGCGGGUAACACCGCCUGGAGGACCGAACUCACUCAAGUUGAAAAUUGAGGGGAUGAGGUGUGGGUAGGAGUGAAAGGCUAAUCAAGCUGGGAUAUAGCUGGUUCUCCCCGAAAUAUAUUGAGGUAUAGCCUCGGACGAAUUGCGACGCAGGUAAAGCACUGAAUGGGCUAGGGGUCCUACCAGAUUACCAAACCCAAUCAAACUACUGAAUGGCGUUGACAAGUAUCCGGGAGUCAGGCUGCGGGAGAUAAAG
rnacentral:rRNA from 1 species